GGCAGUGCUUCGUGCUCUGGCCCCGGGCCUCCCCCAAGGCAGGCUUUUUUGAAAGGGAGGCGAACACUAACAACACAAUCCUUUGCGGCUAAACUGAAAGAACUGACCAGACCGCAAUGGCUUCAAGUGAUUCCUCUCAUCACCAUGAAUUCAACAAAGGAGCAUUUUUUGAUGUUGAUGUUGACAUUCAACCAUACAUGUUUCAACAGGAAUAUAGCGAAGAGGAUUUGAAACAAAGAGUUGGAUUUAGCUAGAAGCUCAGCUACAGCUGAUGCCAGCACCAAGAGUGCAGAUGACAAAUACUGUAUCUAGCUAACUGCAGGUGGUCAGUUUGAAUGUUUCCACAAAUGGAGGACAUAGACAGUAUCGCCAAGUGGUAUUUCCCCCGUAACAGCCAUGGAGAGAACAGUGUCAGAGGACCUGGGCCCUAGGACCAUGCCUCAGGACUACCUGGCUUGAUGACUCCUUGCUGUCCCCAGUUCACCUGGCCGUGCUGCUGCUCCAGUUCCAACUGUUCUGCCUGCAGCUAUGGAACCCUGACCUGUUCACCGGACGUGCUACCUGUCCCAGACCUGCUGUCCCAGACCUGCUGGAACCCUGACCUAUUCACCGGACGAGCUACCUGUCCCAGACCUGCUGUUUUCAACUCUCUAGAGACAGCAGGAGCGGUAGAGAUUCUCUCAAAGAUCGGCUAUGAAAAAGCCAAC
rnacentral:lncRNA from 1 species